rnacentral:rRNA from 1 species
CACGUAGGGGGCAAGCGUUGUCCGGAUUUAUUGGGCGUAAAGAGCUCGUAGGCGGCUCAGUUAGUCGGGUGUGAAACCCCCGGGCUCAACCCGGGGACGCCACCCGAUACUGCUGUGGCUAGAGUCCGGUAGGGGAGCGUGGAAUUCCUGGUGUAGCGGUGAAAUGCGUAGAUAUCGGGAGGAACACCAGUGGCGAAGGCGACUACCUGGCCUGUUCUUGACGCUGAGGCGCGAAAGCUAGGGGAGCAAACGGG